CCCUUAGAUGUUCUGGGCCGCACGCGUGCUACACUGAGUGGAUCAGCGGGUCAGGUUGCGCGAAAGCGUUUCCUAAUCUUUAAAUCCGCUCGUGAUGGGGAUUGACGGUUGCAAUUUUCUGUCAUGAACGAGGAAUACCUUGUAAGCGCGGGUCAUCAUCCCGCGCUGAAUACGUCCCUGCCCUUUGUACACACCGCCCGUCGCUCCUACCGAUUGAGUGGUCCGGUGAGGCUUUGGGAUCUGAGCGGAAAGAGCGUUUCGCUGUUUCUGCUCGGAAAACUCAGUCGAACCUUAUCAUUUAGAGGAAGGAGGAGUCGUAACA
rnacentral:rRNA from 1 species